GUCAUGACAGCUUUCCCGUUGCUGUCAACAAACUUUAACCUUUUUCAUAACUUUUCAGAUCUUGGUGUAUUGUGUUCAUACUUGGCCACAACAACCCUUCAAAUAGACCAGACUAAACUUGACCUCCAUAUAAACAUUCAAGAUGGUCGGCCUACAUGUCAGAUUUGUAAAUGUGAACGGCACUAUAUCGAUUUUAAGGAUGCUUUAGGGUCAAUGAGGAUGAAAUAAAAUGUGAGACUGUCAAUCUGACAAACCUUGCAGUGAAUAAAUGGAAACAGUGGCGUUUGUAUGAUAGAACAGUAAUAGCAGGAGUGAUAAGGACAGAUGCAUGUAGAUGUGUCUUCAUGUCGGAAACACUAGAGAAAUUGACACAUUUGGGUUUUUCAAAACUUAAAGAAAUUGGAAUACCAGGAGACUGCUUGCCAUUUGCAAUGUUGGAAUGUGUGAUGUCGAAAGCCUCAUGAAUAUAGUAACUUGACUUAAUCUAAUAAGAAAAAGAAAAGACAUUGAGGAGAAAACUAGUCACCAGUCUUUCACCAAGAACAUGAGAUAACUUUCCAAUAUUUGAAAUAUCAUAAUAUGUAUAGAACUUGAAUGAGCGA